UUGUAGGUGGGUCAGUGGUAGAAUUCUCGCCUUCUAUGCAAGAGACCUGGGUUCUAUUCCCAGUCAGUGUA
rnacentral:tRNA from 1 species